UACGAAGGGGGCUAGCGUUGUUCGGAAUUACUGGGCGUAAAGCGCGUGUAGGCGGGUCUUUAAGUCAGGGGUGAAAUGCCAAGGCUCAACCUUGGAACUGCCUUUGAUACUGGAGACCUUGAGUCCGGGAGAGGUGAGUGGAAUUGCGAGUGUAGAGGUGAAAUUCGUAGAUAUUCGCAAGAACACCAGUGGCGAAGGCGGCUCACUGGCCCGGAACUGACGCUGAGACGCGAAAGCGUGGGGAGCAAACGGG
rnacentral:rRNA from 1 species